AAUUCAACUUGUCCGUUUGGUCGAAUUUUACUAUACCCCAAAAACACAUAAAUCUUCAGAGUUGUGAUCAGGCGAUAGAACUCUCACGAAGCAAAAACUCACAUAAAUUGAAUUCUGUAAAAUGGGGAUGAAACUAGGCACGCGAUUGGUUAUAGCGUCGCAGACAUCGAAUUCGACGCUUCUGAUUGGCGUUUGCCUACGUCAUCAGUGCUUCGUGCAGUAGCUAUCGCAAUUUCGGGACAAGCCUGAGACGCAUUUGGUACAUCAUAAGUUCAUAAAGUUUCGAGGUGGAAGGACGUGUUGUCGCGUCUCUUAAAUUCAAUUUAUCGUGCUAAUUUUUUCGCAAAAUUAGUUUUAAUUAGUUCUACGUCUGAAAGAUUAGUCAACAAUUGAGAGAGAUUUGAACUUAUAUCCUUUGCUUACUGAAAAGAUAAGUCGUCUCCUAUGGUGUUUUAGCUGUUAACCUUUCAUCUUGAAGAUUCUUGUGGUUAAUUAAGGAACAUUAGAAGAACUCCGGAUACCAUUAAAUUAUGAAAUUAUCGAGCAUUGGUUGUAUUAGUCCUCAUUUGCCCCGGAAAGUAGCUGUGCCCAUGAUUCUAAAGAAAGCAUGAAAGUGCCUUUUUUCCGUUGGGAACGAAACUGUUAAAUUUUCAUCCUGGAUGCUCUUGUAGUUAAUUAAGGUGAGCAUACAAGCUGUAUUAUAUAUAUGUAGUGUAUCUGUUUGAUUUUAAAAGACAAAAGGGGAUGUGAGAAGAACUCCAGAUGCCAUUAAAUUGUGGAGCAUUGAUUGUGUCGGUUCUCAUUGACUCCAAAAAGUGACUGUUCCUAUAGUCAUAAAGAAAACAUGAAAGUGCCUUUCCAUUGGGAACGGAGACAAUGUGCUGAAGUGUGCUGCUGAAGGAGGGAUUUAUGACAAUAAACUGAUUGUCCCACAAAUGACGAGAGAUUGCAGUUAAUUUUGAUGUUACUGAAGCAACCGAUUUUUUGAUGUCUUCACUUUGCAACAUUAUGCAGUUAACUUUUACCGUAACGACAGGAGGCAGUUGGAAAUUAAUUAAUUUGGAAGAGACUGGAACAACAGAUUGUUUGCAGUGAUCCCUCCUAGAUUUGGUUUGCUCAUCACACUGAUAGACUUUAGAACGCCACUUUCUACAAUUAAUUAAGGUGAGAAUACAUGACUGAUCAAUAUUAAUUACUCUUUAUAAAUCUGUUAUGAAGUUUUUGUUAACAAUUAGCUAUUGUCAACAGUAUAAAUUGAGUUUAUUGUGUAUCAGCAUCACUUGACAGUUUUAUUUUCCACAGAAUAAAUUGAUAUUUAUCAUUGAUGAAUCUAUGGAGUUUAUCUAUCUAUGAAUUUUCUUUUUAACCUUUUUCUGUUGUCUAUGUCGUAAAUUGAUGUCGUGUUAUUUGACGUUAAUCUAUGUCGUGAUCUAUGGUUGUGAUGUAAAAUGGCGUAAAAUUGUUGUUUGUUUAUUUUAUAAUUCAGAUAUUUUACU